AAGGAAGAAGUGUCUCGACCCGAAACGUUGCCUCUUUCCUCCGCCUGGACCUACCGAUCUGCCUCACCCUCUGAGUUUCUCCAGCAUAUUCAGCAUUGUCUAUAUUCUAAUCAUCAACAGCUAAUGACUGUUAACUCACACCCUACAGUCGCGUAGAUUUGUUGGGUUGAGAGAUUAACCCAACUUUCUUCACUGCCUGCUGUACCUGCAUGUUGACUCGGAGAUGCCCCGUCAUCUGAACUCCAGCAAGGCAGAAGCUGACCACAAGCCCAGAUCUCCGCGACUCCUCGCUCUCCUGCAGAGAUACAAUGGCUUCAUCUUCACAAUCUGCAUACUUCAGUCAGCAAGAAAUCAAUGAACUGCGGACUACAUAUGAUCAGGAUGGGCUGAGCAAGUUUGCGGCACAGAUCGUGAAGAAAUUGAACGAUAU